UACGUAGGGGGCAAGCGUUGUCCGGAUUUAUUGGGCGUAAAGCGCGUGUAGGCGGCCAGAUAGGUCUGCUGUGAAAACUCGAGGCUCAACCUCGAGCUGUCGGCGGAAACCAUCUAGCUAGAGUCCGGAAGAGGAGAGUGGAAUUCCUGGUGUAGCGGUGAAAUGCGCAGAUAUCAGGAAGAACACCUAUGGCGAAGGCAGCUCUCUGGGCCUGACCUGACGCUGAGACGCGAAAGCGUGGGGAGCAAACAGG
rnacentral:rRNA from 1 species